rnacentral:rRNA from 1 species
UACGUAGGGGGCAAGCGUUGUCCGGAUUUAUUGGGCGUAAAGAGCGUGUAGGCGGCUAGAUAGGUCCGUUGUGAAAACUCGAGGCUCAACCUCGAGACGUCGAUGGAAACCAUCUGGCUAGAGUCCGGAAGAGGAGAGUGGAAUUCCUGGUGUAGCGGUGGAAUGCGCAGAUAUCAGGAAGAACACCCGUGGCGAAGGCGGCUCUCUGGGACGGUACUGACGCUGAGACGCGAAAGCGUGGGGAGCGAACAGG